rnacentral:rRNA from 1 species
CGGAUUGAAGGCUGAAAUUCGCCUUCAUGAAGCUGGAAUUGCUAGUAAUGGCAGGUCAGCAUACUGCCGUGAAUACGUUCCCGGGCCUUGUACACACCGCCCGUCACACCAUGAGAGUUGGGAAUACCCGAAGCCUGUGAGCUAACUUUAAGAGGCAGCAGUCGAAGGUAGAAUCAAUGAUUGGGGUGAAGUCGUAACAAGGUAGC